UACGGGGGGAGCAAGCGUUGUUCGGAUUUACUGGGCGUAAAGGGCGCGUAGGCGGUCAGCACAAGUCAAUUGUGAAAUCUCCGAGCUUAACUCGGAAAGGUCAACUGAAACUGUGCGACUAGAGUGCGGAAGGGGCAACUGGAAUUCUUGGUGUAGCGGUGAAAUGCGUAGAUAUCAAGAGGAACACCUGCGGCGAAGGCGGGUUGCUGGGCCGACACUGACGCUCAUGCACGAAAGCGUGGGGAGCAAACAGG
rnacentral:rRNA from 1 species